GCAAUGGCAAGUGAUCUAUAAAGGAUUUUAAAAACCUAUGACAAAGGAACAGCUUGCAAAAUUGUGCAAGACCAUUGUCAACUUCAUUGCACAGACCACCCUGCAGAUCCUGCUGCCGGCCCUGGCCCGCAUUCUAGGGGUGACAGGCUUUUAUGACAACGCUGACUCACUCAAGAGGGGCUGCAGUGCAAGAUCCUUCACUGCCUUUGAGCAGAAAAGACUGGAGCUCAUCCAGGAAGUUAAAUAUUUGGCGAAGGAGAUGUGUAACUGUGGCGGCAGCGCUCUCCGACCAAGGUCUAGCACACCCUCUUCCAAGAGUUCCCAGACCUCACUGAAAGUCCACCUGGGAAUGCCAGAGGACAGUAUCAUUAGCAGUGUCCAGGAGCAACUCUCUGACCAUGAGAUGUUGGCCUCUUGCCCACCUGAGCUGACCGUUGGUCUUAUCAAGGAGGUUCUUGAACAGCUCAACUUGGCCCUCUCUUUGACCAGCAGUAGAACCAUUUCAGGGCGGUCGUCCCCCAUUGCCUCUGGUACUCAGGCCGCUGAACAGAUGAUUAACAUGGUCCAGAAGUUUUUCUAUGAUUCCACUGCUCCAGAGGACCAGUUAGAUGUUGAUUCCUACAUUCCAUCUGCAACAGAAGAGGUGAUCACUGUUAUUGCAGACAUGGUGGAUGAAUUGAAAGGAGAAGAUGCAGACUCGGUUAAGCUGCUUCAAGAAGUGGCUGUGAAAGUUAAAAUGUUGGCAUCUGUCAGUGACCUUGCAGUGGAGGACCUGGACGAUGAAGACUUUUCUUUCCCAACGGAGCUGAACUCGUGUAUAUCUUGCAAGGCAUUGGUGUUCAAGACAAAAGCCUCAAAGGCUGUGAGCGAGAUUCUAGUGAGAUGGGACUCCAGGGGAACCUCUGGUUUGGUUGAACAUUCCUAUUCAUUUAUUGCCACUCCCAGCUUGAUGAAUGCGUCUCACCCUGACACGAUCCAUCAUUCCGUGGCCACUGGGCUCAUACAGACCAAUAUGAAUUCGGAGGCGCCGAAUAUAAUUGAUAGCUUUGUUGAAGAUGUCAAAGGCAUUGUGAAGAAAGCUGAAUUAGAUAAGCCAACAAGCACCCAGAGAGAUCCGCAAGUCUCCUACUACUCUAUGGCAGGCAUACUCUAUGCUUCAACUGAGUGAUGAGAAACCCUCAGAAGCCACGAAUGCUGCAGCUGUAAGCCCCCUGACUGGUGUGGAAGUAUCUGAGAAGAAAAUCUGGAUAACUGCAAAGACUAUUUACCACAAUGUGAAGGCAAAGAUGAGGAAUUAUUUCUCAUUGCAAAGACAAGCCAAAGCAACGAAGGCUCAAGCCAAAAAUACCCUCAGCCAUAUUCUGGUUUC
rnacentral:lncRNA from 13 species